CUUUAACACAGUGCUGGUAGCCCGGCCCCGUUAAUUACUCUUGGGCUCGAGAUGCUCCAUGGCUCCUGGGUCCCUUAGCAGUGGGCUGCAGAGCUCCCCUGGGCUGCCCGACCUCUGCUGGGGCUGCCCUCUGUUUGUUUUCUUAAUGCUAUCUUUUUCUUUAUCUGCAGAGCUGGCCUUUUCCAUAUGUUGCUUGCUGAAGGCAGCAGCAUGACAGAUUUCUUCUUUCCCCUCAAAAGUCAAGGCUCAAAUAGUUGAGUGGCCCUUUCGGUUGUGUACGUGGUCAUCCAGACCAUGUUGCGUGGGAAUAAACAUGACAUUACUGCUACAGCACUGCUGAGCCCACGCAGCUGGAUAGAAAGAAAGGGGGAGCUCAGCACAGACACUCUGCUAAGGAGGAAUUUGGGUGCUUGCAGCUGCUCCCUGUUCUCCCCCAUUUUUCUCCUCCCAGCUAGCUGUGUCUGUGCACAAGGGCAUCUCCUGGGAGCAGGACCUGGAGGCAGCCUCCAUUUGAAGGCUGUAGAGGGAACUACAAGGCGGAACAUGGUUACUUGAGCUUUGUUUCCUUUUGGAAACCAGGCUAAAAAGCACACCGUCAGCUGACAGCUCCAUCACCAGCAGCCAGCAUCAGGAACGGGGCACCCCUGAUACAUGCAUACAGUACACACCACAUUAAAGCUGGAGAAUUGCUGAUCUUCCACAAGCUGUUAACGACUAUGUUGGCUCAGGUGGCUGCUGAUGUCCCCUAGGGAAGCCCAGGUGGUGCUCACUGUGGUGCCAGCCCCAUUCUGGCAGCCCUAUAGGAGCUCUACUUCCUCAGCCCCUUCUGUACCUCCUUAGUUUGUCCCAUUUUCUUUUUCACCAUACAGUGCCCUAAGGCUGCCUUGUGUGCUUCAAGGUGUGAUCGUGUUGCUGAUUGUGGCCAUUUAUGGCUUCUCCAUGACAAAGAGGGUGUGAAGUACCAAAAAAAAAAAAAAAAAGGGAAAGUAAAGAAGUCAGUUGAGCCCAAGUGAUGGCAAGGCUGCAUGGAGAAGCCAGGAGUGGACCACAGUGCCCGUGUCUCAAUGUGCAGUGCUCUGAGUGAAGCUGCAAGAGCUCUGAAGACAUCCAAAGUCUGACAAAUCGCUAUGGGUGUCCCUGUGCCUCUGAACUGAUUUCAAAGAAUGAUCUCUUUUUCUUUUUUUUCCUCUUCCAAAAAGAAAGCAAACAAUUUUGAGCAUCAAAUGAGUACCGUUGCCCUGCCCAGCAUGUUGUUGCCUUCUGCUUGCCGCCUACAUGCGUUGCUUUUAUUUCGUGGCUUUCUUGAGGGGGAAAAAAUAAAUGUUGUGUUGGAACGGGGAUGUGAGCUGCAGCCUGGGCUGCUGCCGCCCUCUCCUGGCUCCGAUGGUGCCAAGAAGCAGAGAUUUUCCAAAAGAGAAUCCUGCAAGCCUGGGUCCAUUUCCCAAAAGAGAUUCUUGCAAGCUGGUGCCCAGCUGGCCUUGCCCAUGAGCACAGCGUGGCCUCAACCCCACCGCUGCCUCCUUCCUCCCCACCCUGGUGCCUCCUUUUGUGUAUUUUCAGUACCCUUUUUCAGACUUCUCCUGAGCUUUCCCAUGUAGGGAGAAAAAUGUCGUAUCCCAGGGAUCCUCCUCGUGUUGGCCUCUCCAAAAUGUGCCCGCUCAGGGACUGCAGGAUGACGGAGCAUCCCAUGC
rnacentral:lncRNA from 1 species